UACGUAGGGCGCGAGCGUUGUCCGGAAUUAUUGGGCGUAAAGAGCUCGUAGGCGGCCGGUUGCGUCUGCUGUGAAAUCCCGGGGCUUAACCCCGGGCGUGCAGUGGAUACGGGCCGGCUGGAGGCAGGCAGGGGAGAAUGGAAUUCCCGGUGUAGCGGUGAAAUGCGCAGAUAUCGGGAGGAACACCGGUGGCGAAGGCGGUUCUCUGGCUCGUAUCUGACGCUCAGGCGCGACAGCGUGGGGAUCAAACAGG
rnacentral:rRNA from 1 species